UGUUCUCCAAAGCUCCCCAACCACUUCGGCAUCUCUUGAAUCCAGAGAAGAAAAGGCUGCUCCAGACCUGGUGAGCAUUCUGAGGCAGGACCCAGCAGCCUGGUCAACCCCUCACUCGUCAGCCUCCUGCGAAGAGCACCGGCUGACCCUGGCUCGCCCCCUGCAUGGCCGUCCAUCAUGUGACAGACAGCCAGGGAUGAGGAAAGUGCUGAAAGAUACCCCCCAGGAAGGUGUGGCAAGAGCAAGCUCUGGAGCUCCAAGGCGGCUUUGUGACCUUGGACUGGUCACACAACAGCAUCCUGGGAACUGAGCGAUGAUUGCAGACAUCAAAGUUGUGAUAUCAAUGUCCAAAGAAGUCUCUGGGUGAGUCCCUAGAGUCCUCCCUCGGGGCAGUGCAGGCCUUGAGGUUCAAGCAGAACAGCAUGGAGAUGAGAUGGUGUAAGAGAGUCGACAGUUUCCAAGCCCACCACUCUGCCUUCUGCUUUUGCCCAACAUCCAGAGAACUGGUGAGAAGGCCAGGUGCUCCCUCCAUUGGAACUGAAGGCACGUUGGGCCCCAGCAGGCCCUGCCCAGGUGCGGGAGCCCUCUCUCUGCCUCAUCUCCAUCUGCAGUGAAUCCCAGGCAGCCACUUGACCCUAUCAUCAAGCUAUUUUCAAACCGUCUCCGAGUCUGCCCUGCCCUCUCUCGAAACCCUCUCCGCGUGAGUAAUCGCUUCCUACUCCUGGUGGACACAUGUGGUGCAUCAGCCACAACAGGUGAACCCAGCUUUGGCUGAGGGCUUGUCCUGCCUCUGUGGUUCUGUCUUGGACAUGACCCGUUUGCCCAUCGUCCUUUCCCUUCUUCCUGCCAGUGAUGGACUGACCAGCCUCUUCACAAGGAGCAAGAGCUGGUGCUACCGGUGACCGAGCAGAAGGUCAAGAGGAGCCUGGGGCCUGAUGUCCUGGCUGAAGAAUGGAUUACUGCUAUUACAGUCAGCUGGUGUCCUAGAGAUCAAGGGACCCCCGUUAGGAAAACAGUUGAGAUGUAAUCCUUCCUCUGCACAAGUUGGGACCUCAUCUAACUCCCCAUUAUUACCAUCAUCCCUGCCAUUAGAGUUUUAAUUUGUAUUGAAGAAGCUCAACAAAAACUCCAUCAAUUUGAAGAUGCAAACGUUGAUUGGCAAGGAAAGCCAGAGGGCACGUGCCUCAUGCCACCGCGGUCCAGCACACAGGUGGGAAAAAAAGGGACAGGUGGGGAAAACGAGGCACAGAGAACCCAGGAGGAGCCCAAAGCAGAAUCGCAAAUCCUGGAAUGCGGCAGAAAGAUGGGCAGAUGGGACUCCACGGUGUUGGGUCAGACAGUGGUGAAGGAAAUGGACCACCUUCUUUCACAAAGGUCUGCAGCAAUGGGACAAGGGAAAGCAAGGAGAACACAGGCCCACGUCAAGGAGAAGUGCCCGGGUUUACCCAGCCUGAGCCGCAGACUCCGUCCUGGGCCUGGGCAGCGCUCACCGUGAUGCCCUCUCUCCAUAUCAAGACAGUGGGAUCCACAGGGAAAGUCCUUCCACAGCCCUGACUGAGCUCCCAGGCUGCAGGCAUGUCCAGCAGAGCCCUGGGGACGCUGUCUGAAGGUCAGGUGGGGGCAGCGGCUCGGGGUCUGCAGCCUGCCUCUCCAGGGCCAGCAGUUUCCAGCUCAGUGUCCCUCUGCUUCCUGGCCUUGCGCCAGGCUUAGUUUUCUCUGUCAACCCAUCCCACUCUGAGGCCUGAUGUCAGAGUCGUCCCACCCUGAGCCAAAUCCUUCCCAUCACCCCUCUUUCCUUUUCUGAUGACGGUCCAACAUGGGAGCAUUCCAACCGGCGGUUCUGACCUGUCCCUCCGUGGCUGGGUGUCCAGUGGGAUCUCGGGUGAGCAGCUACGUUUGUCCAAGUCAAGGCAUCGAGACUGGGUUUGAAAGAUUGCUCUUCUCCACGACUUCCUUGCCUCACAGGGGACUUGUGCCAUCCUUGGUGUGUACAGGGACGGCACCAGCUGUUUUAACAUGGCCCACAACAUUGGGAGACAUGAAGGUGGGGCUCUCACUCUCUCAAAGUGGGGGCUGCUGGCUCAGGGGCCAGGAGUUCCUCUUAAGAAAAGGAAAAAUCCAGGUAAUUCCGUGCAGUGGCAAAGCAGACUGGGAAUGAGUUUUGUUGUUUGUUUGUUUGGGGAGGGAACACUAGUUUUAUUCAGUGAAAUGGUGCUUUACCAUCAAGGAAAGACUACCUGGUGGAAUGUUCCAGAACAGGCAGACUUUUGACCCCCUCUGCUGCUUAUGACCUCUUGUUCUCUGCUGUCAAGAAAACCACUUUUUUUUUUUCUUUUGAGGAAAUUGAACAAAAUUAAAUGGAACUGUGUGGGCAGACAA